rnacentral:rRNA from 1 species
CUUGGUCAUUUAGAGGAAGUAAAAGUCGUAACAAGGUUUCCGUAGGUGAACCUGCGGAAGGAYCAUUACAGAGAACUUGCCCUUCUAGGGUAUAUCUCCACCCUUUGUUUACAAUACCCCUGUUGCUUUGGCAAGCCCGUCUCAUGACCACCGGCCUCAGCUGGUCUGUGCUUGCCAGAGGCCCCAAAACUCUUAUUUAUGAUGUCUGAGUCUUAUGCAAUAGUUAAAACUUUCAACAACGGAUCUCUUGGUUCUGGCAUCGAUGAAGAACGCAGCGAAAUGCGAUAAGUAAUGUGAAUUGCAGAAUYCAGUGAAUCAUCGAAUCUUUGAACGCACAUUGCACCCUCUGGUAUUCCGGGGGGUAUGCCUGUUCGAGCGUCAUUUCAACCCUCAAGCCCUGCUUGGUAUUGGAUGCCAUCACUUGUGGUGCAUCUCAAAAGCAUUGGCGGUAGCAUUUAGCUUCUAGUGCAGUAAUUUUCUCGCUUGGAGUCUAGAGGUCUGCCUGCUAGAACAAUUAARUUUAUCAAGGUUGRCCUCGGAUCAGGUAGGGAUACCCGCUGAACUUAAGCAUAUCAAUAAGCGGAGGA